rnacentral:rRNA from 1 species
CACGUAGGGACCAAGCGUUGUCCGGAUUCAUUGGGCGUAAAGAGCUCGUAGGCGGUUCAGUAAGUCGGGUGUGAAACCUCCAGGCUCAACCUGGAGACGCCACCCGAUACUGCUGUGACUAGAGUCCAGUAGGGGAGCGUGGAAUUCCUGGUGUAGCGGUGAAAUGCGCAGAUAUCAGGAGGAACACCCGUGGCGAAGGCGGCUCUCUGGGACGGGUACUGACGCUGAGACGCGAAAAGCGUGGGGGAGCGAACAGG